rnacentral:rRNA from 1 species
AGAGUUUGAUCAUGGCUCAGGACGAACGCUGGCGGCGUGCCUCAAACAUGCAAGUCGAGCGGGGAACUUUUAAAAGCGCAAGCUUUUAUAAGUUCCUAGCGGCGAACGGGUGAGUAACACGUGGGCAACCUACCCAGAAGACCGGGACAACACUUCGAAAGGGGUGCUAAUACCGGAUACGCUCGCUGAGUCGCAUGAUUUGGCGGGGAAAGAAUUUUCGCUUUUGGAUGGGCCCGCGUCCCAUUAGCUAGUUGGUGAGGUAAUGGCUCACCAAGGCAACGAUGGGUAGCUGGUCUGAGAGGACGAUCAGCCACACUGGAACUGAGACACGGUCCAGACUCCUACGGGAGGCAGCAGUGGGGAAUCUUCCGCAAUGGGCGAAAGCCUGACGGAGCAACGCCGCGUGAGUGAAGAAGGCCUUCGGGUUGUAAAACUCUGUCAUCAGGGAAGAAGAAAGUGACGGUACCUGAGGAGGAAGCCCCGGCUAACUACGUGCCAGCAGCCGCGGUAAU